rnacentral:sRNA from 1 species
CAUGCCCCUUAUACGCUGGGCUACACACGUGCUACAAUGGGUAGUACAGAGAGUCGCAAAGCCGCGAGGUGGAGCUAAUCUCAGAAAACUAUUCUUAGUUCGGAUUGUACUCUGCAACUCGAGUACAUGAAGUUGGAAUCGCUAGUAAUCGCGAAUCAGCAAUGUCGCGGUGAAUACGUUCUCGGGUCUUGUACACACCGCCCGUCACACCACGAGAGUUGGUUGCACCUGAAGUAGCAGGCCUAACCGCAAGGAGGGAUGCUCCGAGGGUGUGAUUAGCGAUUGGGGUGAAGUCGUAACAAGGUAUCCGUACGGGAACGUGCGGAUGGAUCACCUCCUUUCUAAGGAGAAUAUGUCUUUCUCUAUUCUAUUGGUAAUGUUCUUAGAACAUUGCGCUGAACAUUGGAAACUAUAUAGUAGAACAAAACAAGAAAAAAUUAACUCUAACAAUUUCUUAGAGUUAGCUGUCAAAAAAUAGGUUAAAAUAAUUAAGGGCACACAAAGGAUGCCUAGGUAGUAAGAGCCGAUGAAGGACGUGGUAAGCUGCGAUAAGCCUAG